AAAGAAAUAUUUUACAAAAAGCUUCUAACUUUUUAAUAAGCACUAAUAAUGUUUA
rnacentral:tRNA from 1 species